rnacentral:lncRNA from 1 species
GAGAGAGAGAGAGAGAGAGAUGUAUCAGCUUAGAAAAAUGGUAGGGCUUGCACUUGUUAUUUAAAGUUUUAAUCAUCUCCACAUGGCAUAUAGCUCACAUUUCGCCUCAGAUUCUUAUCCCAGUUUUCAUAUUUUCCAGGGGAUUCCUUUUGAGGGAAAAAAAAAAGAAACAAGGAAGAGAAAAAGGGAAAUGCGGCAGAAGCUGAGGGUUUCCUCAUCAGUGUGAAUUAUGGGUUCCGCUUGAUUCGGCCCGCAGGACCUGUUGACCGGGUUUUGUCUUCCCACAAUGUGGUUUGAAGUCUCUGUCGGCGUUCUUUCAUCCACAAGAAACCCGAGGAGAUCUGGAUUAGGGUUCUUACCUAGUUCCCUCCCCCCCCCUCCUUCUUUCCUUCCUUCCUUUUUCCUUUCUUCUUUAAUUCAUCCUGCUGAGUCAAAAAUAGUUGUGUAGUUUUGUCGUCUUGGUCAGAGAAAAGAAGACCGGUUUUACUGUACCCUGGCUGGGCUUUUUCUCCCUUAACGUUAGUUGACGGACCAAUGUAUAGACCAGAUGCUCUCUCUCUCUCUCUCUCUCUCCCCUCUCUCUCUAAUGGUGCCUUUGUUGGAUUGGAUUUUGUACUCGGUGCCAGGUUGACAAUUUACUCAGACAGGCCCCUCCUUUACGUACCCAUCCAUGCCCUAUACAUGCAUAUUAAUAUUCUAUAUAUAUAUUUAUAUAUGUAGAGAGAGAGAAAGAGAGAGAGAGAGCAUAGAAUGGCCGAGGAGGAAGGACCCAGUUGCAGGCUGCAGAUACCCCUUCCUUCCCCGCUCUCGUUUCUUCGUACAAGGA